AGUAGCGGCGAGCGAAGCGGGAAGAGCUCAAAUUUAUAAUCUGGCACCUUCGGUGUCCGAGUUGUAAUCUCUAGAAGUGUUUUCCGCGUUGGACCGCACACAAGUCUGUUGGAAUACAGCGGCACAGUGGUGAUACCCCCGUACACGGUGCGGACGCCCAGCGCUUUGUGAUACACUUUCAAAGAGUCGAGUUGUUUGGGAAUGCAGCUCAAAUUGGGUGGUAAAUUCCAUCUAAAGCUAAAUAUUGGCGAGAGACCGAUAGCGAACAAGUACCGUGAGGGAAAGAUGAAAAGCACUUUGGAAAGAGAGUUAACAGUACGUGAAAUUGUUGGAAGGGAAACGCUUGAAGUCAGACUUGCUUGCCGGAGCUUGCUUCGGUUUGCAGGCCAGCAUCAGUUUUUCGGGGUGGAUAAUGGCGGUUUGAAGGUAGCAGUCUCGUGCUGUGUUAUAGCUUUCCGCUGGAUACACCCUGGGGGACUGAGGAACGCAGCGUGCUUUUAGCGAAGGUUUCG
rnacentral:rRNA from 1 species